rnacentral:rRNA from 1 species
AGUAGACGUUCAGAGUUUGAUCCUGGCUCAGGAUGAACGCUGGCGGCGUGCCUAAUACAUGCAAGUCGAGCGAACAGACGAGGAGCUUGCUCCUUCGACGUUAGCGGCGGACGGGUGAGUAACACGUAGGUAACCUACCUAUAAGACUGGGAUAACUUCGGGAAACCGGAGCUAAUACCAGAUAAUAUUUCGAACCGCAUGGUUCGAUAGUGAAAGAUGGCUUUGCUAUCACUUAUAGAUGGACCUGCGCCGUAUUAGCUAGUUGGUAAGGUAACGGCUUACCAAAGCAACGAUACGUAGCCGACCUGAGAGGGUGAUCGGCCACACUGGAACUGAGACACGGUCCAG